UCGGAUAUGGUGGAACGGCUAACGUUACCGCCUUUCAAGGUGGGAUUGGCAUUUGUGGUGCGCUAGCUCGGGCUUCGAUUCCCCGUAUCCGAA